rnacentral:rRNA from 1 species
UACGAAGGGGGCUAGCGUUGCUCGGAAUCACUGGGCGUAAAGGGUGCGUAGGCGGGUCUUUAAGUCAGGGGUGAAAUCCUGGAGCUCAACUCCAGAACUGCCUUUGAUACUGGAGAGCUUGAGUCCGGAAGAGGUGAGUGGAACUCCGAGUGUAGAGGUGAAAUUCGUAGAUAUUAGGAAGAACACCAGUGGCGAAGGCGGCUCACUGGCCCGGUACUGACGCUGAGGCGCGAAAGCGUGGGGAGCAAACAGGG